rnacentral:snRNA from 1 species
AUACUUACUUGGUAGGGGAGAUACUGUGAUCAUGAAGGUGGUUUUCCCAGGACAAGUUUAUCCAUGGCCCUCUGAUGUGCUUUCUCUGAAAUUUCCCCUAGUAUGGGAAACUCGACUACAUAAUUUGUGGUAAUGAGGGACUGCAUUCAUACUCUUCCAUA